GAUGAACGCUGGCGGCGUGCUUAACACAUGCAAGUCGAACGAAACACCUUAUUUGAUUUUCUUCGGAACUGAAGAUUUGGUGAUUGAGUGGCGGACGGGUGAGUAACGCGUGGGUAACCUGCCCUGUACAGGGGGAUAACAGUCAGAAAUGACUGCUAAUACCGCAUAAGACCACAGCACCGCAUGGUGCAGGGGUAAAAACUCCGGUGGUACAGGAUGGACCCGCGUCUGAUUAGCUGGUUGGUGAGGUAACGGCUCACCAAGGCGACGAUCAGUAGCCGGCUGGAGAGAGGCCACGGCGGGAUUGGGAUACGGCCCAGACCCAAACGGUAAGGGGCGGAGGAGGAGGGGACACUAGAGGAGGGGGGAAACCCUGAUGCAGCGACGCCGCGUGAGUGAAGAAGUAUUUCGGUAUGUACAGCUCUAUCAGAAGGGAAGAAAAUGACGGUACCUGACUAAGAAGCCCCGGCUAACUACGUG
rnacentral:rRNA from 1 species